UGGGGAAUUUUGGACAAUGGGCGCAAGCCUGAUCCAGCAAUGCCGCGUGCAGGAUGAAGGCCUUCGGGUUGUAAACUGCUUUUGUACGGAGCGAAAAGGUCUGCCCUAAUACGGUGGGCUCAUGACGGUACCGUAAGAAUAAGCACCGGCUAACUACGUGCCAGCAGCCGCGGUAAUACGUAGGGUGCGAGCGUUAAUCGGAAUUACUGGGCGUAAAGCGUGCGCAGGCGGUUAUAUAAGACAGAUGUGAAAUCCCCGGGCUCAACCUGGGAACUGCAUUGGUGACUGGCAGGCUAGAGUAUGGCAGAGGGGGGUAGAAUUCCACGUGUAGCAGUGAAAUGCGUAGAUAUGCGGAGGAACACCGAUGGCGAAGGCAAUCCCCUGGACCUGUACUGACGCUCAUGCACGAAAGCGUGGGGAGCAAACA
rnacentral:rRNA from 1 species